rnacentral:SRP_RNA from 1 species
GCCAGGCACAGUGGCGCGUGUGUCUAGUAGUCCCAGCUACUCAGGAGGCUGAGGCUGGUGGAUCACUUGAGUCCAGGAGUUCUGGGCUAUAGUGCGCUAUGCCGAUCAGGUGUCCGCACUAAGUUCGGCAUCAGUAUGGUGACCUCCUGGAAGUGGGGGACCCCCAGGUUGCCUAAGGUGGGGUGUAAUGGCCCAGGUCAGAAAUGGAGCAGGUCAAAACUCCUGUGCUGAUUAGUAGUGGGAUUGAGCCUGUGAAUAGCCACUGCACUCUAGCCUGGGCAACAUAGCGAGACCCUAUCUCU